GACAGUAUAGCUCAGUGGUAGAGCAUGUGCCUACCAUGCACAAGGUCCUGGGUUCAAUCCCCAGUACCUCCA
rnacentral:tRNA from 1 species